ACGGAAGGCAGCAGUGAGGAAUAUUGGUCAAUGGACGGAAGUCUGAACCAGCCAAGUCGCGUGAAGGAUGAAGGUAUUAUGUAUUGUAAACUUCUUUAGCAGUGGAGUAAUAAGGGGAUCGCGAUCCCUGAUGCAAGUACACUGAGAAUAAGGAUCGGCUAACUCCGUGCCAGCAGCCGCGGUAAUACGGAGGAUCCGAGCGUUAUCCGGAUUUAUUGGGUUUAAAGGGUGCGCAGGCGGCUUUUUAAGUCAGUGGUUAAAUCGUGACGCUCAACGUCAUCACGCCAUUGAUACUGGAGAGCUUGAUUGCGGUCGAGGUUUGCGGAAUUCGUUGUGUAGCGGUGAAAUGCAUAGAUAUUACUCAGAACACCGAUUGCGAAGGCAUCUCACGAAUCCGUCAUUGACGCUGAGGCACGAAAGUGUGGGGAUCAAACAGGAUUAGAUACCCUGGUA
rnacentral:rRNA from 1 species